UGGGGCAGGACAGGACCUCAAAUACCGCUGUGUCACUGACAUAUUGGAAUUCGAUCAUUUAACGAAUUCCAUCCACUCCCCGGGCUCUCAAAACCAAUUAAGCACUACCCGUGCACGGCCUCUGAAAACGGGAAAGAAAUACCGUGGUGGAACUACAAGAUGGCAUUAAAGUUCCUGCUUGGCAGUGCCACAAGUCACUGGGCUUAUUUUGGGCUGGCCAAAGCAAGUCAUGAGAAUCAGUAAAAUAUUAGCUGUUUCCUUUCCUCAGAAAAGGUUUAUGGAAGAUCAUAAAUAUAAAAAUAAUAGCUAAAAUGUAUUGGAACACCUUCUACAUGCCAGGGGCUUUAGUAAGCAUUUACAGAUGGGAACACUUAAUUCUCACAGCAUCCCCUGAGGCAUUGGCACCUCUCAUCACUUCCUCCCCUCAUAUCUUUCAAAUGUAUGAAGUGUUGCGUUGCAAAGGGCUUCGCCCUCUGCUGAGACAUUUUCCCAGAUAAUCAGCAGCAAAAUCUUCAAAAAUUUGGCCUCCAUCUUGUGGAAGUGGCUAUCCAUGUGCCAUAUUCUACUGAGGAUGGAGUCUUCUUUGCCAGCAGGGAGGUGAAUGAGCCAUUCUCCAAACUCGUUCUUUCUGACUGUGG